rnacentral:lncRNA from 1 species
GCACAAAAAUCGCGCCGCAGAGGCAAAGGCAAAAGACACAUCUGGAUGCAGAUUCUAUACACAAAUGAAUAGUGCCGUUUUGCCACCACAAGGUUCCAGAAUUCUAUCUAUGGGAGCUGCCUAUGAGAUCUCUCUCACUCUCUCCCCAUGGAUGUUGUGAGGAGAGUCGGGUGUGGUACACACUGAAUGUUGGACCUGCAAUCAGACCCAGGAUCACAGCCUGUGAACAGAUCUACUGAGCAGGAGGUUAACUAGAAGAGGAAGGGUCAGGUCUAGGACGUAAGAUUCUAAUUCUGAAGUUGAAAAGUUCUUUGAUUCUAUGGGAGCAAUUAUGGAAUUUCUGCUGUGACUCUCAAGCAAUCAUAAAAGUUACGCAAGAAGUUUGUAACCAACUUUGAAUUGCAUCAUUUUCACUAACUCUGAGAUCAGAAUAUGGCAUCCUUCACUGAAUGGAAAUUUCUUAAGCAGGCUCCAUUCCUCUCCCCCAUUUCUCCACCCCUCCCCUUUCUGUGCUACUACCACCUAGGUGUUUAAAGUGGUGAUCAUUUCUGGAUGAGGUCUUACUGGAGAGGGCAGAGAGUGUCUUUUUAAUGGGGGAAAACUGAAAGGUGGGGCACAGACACAUGGCUAACCCCUUGCCUUCAUUUGAUUGUAAUAAGUGAAUUUUCUGUCAUAAAUGUAGUAUAAUCACA